AUAGAUUCAUUACUCAGAGAUUUUUAUCAAGUGAAGAAGGGGUAUGUACUAAGUAUGAAAAUGGAAAUGCCUCAGGUUGGUAAUAGGCUGUAGGCCUGUAGUAGAAUGUAUGCCUAUAAUGGCAUUAGGAGGGAAACAAAGAAUGAGACUAUUCACCAAAAAAUCCUUAUGCCAUUUUAAGGCUUAGAACCACUUUUCAUAGGACUC
rnacentral:lncRNA from 1 species